AUAUUGCAAUUUUGGGACAAAAGAUUCUCGACGUGCGUGGCACGUGCCUCGCAACAUGUUAAACAUAGUGUGUCGAACUCAAUAAACCCAAAAAAUAUGCCUACACGUUAAGAAUAAAAAUAUAUUACAAGCCUAUAAAUACAUAUAUACGUAUAACGAAUUGAAUAUAGCAUAAUAUGCGUCAAGUACGGUAAGCGUAGAAAAACAGUUUCGCGCGGCUGUUGUAAUGACGUGACGGUGCAAUAAAAAUAUCGCCGGACUUAAACGGUGUAACGCAGAUGGCAAUUGUCAAUGGUACGUUAUCGGUAUCGUUCCUUGACACAAUAUAUAUAUAUUUUUUUUAAGGCUUAGACUAGGUUAUACCAAUACUCGGCGCUGAUACUAAAAGUUUUCCGUCUGAUGACAACGAAUCGUCCAAGGGUACGCGGGCUGAUUGUGUCGUGUAUGACGAAUCGGUGGACACGCGACGUAGCCGUCGCGUCGGCUCCCACCGUCGUCGGUGUCCGUCCAAUACCGAAGUGAAAAGUGACGCUAGUCACCAGCCUCUUGAAGCGAGUGGUGACGCCCCGCGCUGGGUCAGCCUCUCGGCUACGCGCCACCAACUUAAAUACUCACACUGUAGUUAUGUUUACGCUGCGUUCGCGAUCGAAUGCCUAUCUUACGUAUCUCGUGAUGUCGCGGUGAUCGUACGGGUCUAGACGGUGCUGGCAUAAUGUGUUCCCCGAAGAGAAAUCGCGAUGAAUCCUCGCCACGCGUGUGUGUUUUCUAGUCAAACCGAUCGUAACUGACGAUGUAACGAAUCUCUUUUACCUAAUAAACUUUUUCUUUUUUUUUUUUUAACUCGCGUCGAAUUUCUUUCGAUCAUGUGGUUGUGAUAUACGACGAGUGUCGUGCUAGUUUCCACUCGAAGAUGUUUCUGUGCAGUGAACAAUGUCGUCGAACGCUGUGUAUCGCUGAACGAUAGAGAUAUUUGGAUCGUGGCGAUGGAUCCUCGAUAUCUGAUCAUCGAUUAAUUAAUUGCAUCUUCGUCUUUUGUCCACCGGGGUCGUUGUUGGAUUAUCCGCGAAGAAAGAGCGUGUGUGUGUGUGUAUGUGUGUGUCUGUUGGUGUUUGUAUCUCGACGCGAUUAAUAUGCACCAGCGGGAGGUAGAUUGAAUAUAUACCCGGGGAAGAUUGUUGUGAAAGAGAGAAAGGAACAUCUGGUAAUGUAAAGGUGCUAAAGAGCUGGUUACCACGAGAAAAUACAUGCACGCCCGGACGUUCUCGCGAACAUGCGCUCCUACACGUAUUGUGCCGUUUACUGUACCUUGAAAAUUCUCGAGAUAUAGUACCGGUUUAUAUACAUUAUAUACAUACGUAUAUGUAUUUCGUUUGAGGCGAAACUACCGAGAAGAAGGAUAUAUCGCCAGGGACGAUUUUCAAACGUCGGAAACGAUCGAGAGCAUCGGUCUUUGGGUUAAGCUCUCUUGGAGCUUAAAUGGCGACUAUGGGUGUUAUCGUAUACAUACCACCUUCAGUCUAGUCCCACAUAAAUCGCAUAAAUUCCGAAAACAUUUUCAUCACGCUGUAUCGUACGUACAUCUAGAGAAACGUGCAUAAACGAUGGCGAUCGGUCGAUUUUGUCACGAGAGAAACGUAAUAUGCGCGAGCUUUGGAAUUCGUGUAUAUAUAGUUGGUUAUAUACACGGUUCACAAUGUGCAGAGUAUGUCACGUGUUUGAUAUGCCAUCGACCUACAUGUACUCUGGAUUAACUUCGUGACCAGCAUUGAAUCUAUCGAACUCGAACAGCUCUCGUUCGAUAUUAACCGAUAGUUAAACACUGGAAUUACUGGUGUCGUUCGAACGAAGAACGACGAUUAUGUAAUAGUAGCGUGUUGCUCAUUUACAAAUUCCAUUGAAAGGUAAAUUCGAAAGUCUGAUAGCUUAUCGCUGAAAUCGAGAAACAUGCCGAGUCACGGCAGUUCAACGAUUUGCUGUGUUCGUUUGCUUACUACAUUUUUUUCUUUUCUCUUCUGCUCCUCAUAUUUAUUCAUCGCUCGCGUCAACUGGAUAAUCCGUUAUCGAGUACGUACGAGCGUAAAACCGAAAUGGAAAAAAUGAUAGACUCACGUGGCAAACGUCAUUAAAAUACAACGAGCAUGUCAUUAAUCAAAACGUUAAAUCGUAUGAAAAAGUACCACUGAAUAAUGAUAAUGGAUUGUUAUUUCUUGCGCUAUAAUUUACGUAAUUGUUUGUGACAAACGGACACACUUGAGGGAUAUGUGUGUACAUCGGAGAGUUGGCGUGAGAUCGAACUAUUCGCAACGGUUCGUACUUGACAGUGUGACACGUAGUUUUAUCGUAGUCUGCUGAGAAAAGUAGAAACAGAAAAAGGAAAAGAAAAAAAGUUGCAACAGAGCAUUGUAUUUCCUUUCGUAAAAUUUAGUUGAUAAGAACGAGUGAAACUUGAUCUUAGUCACGUACGAUUCUGUAGCAGCUGAAUGUGCUGAAUGUUUCUAAGAAACAUUGGUAUCAGUACCACCGCUGCAUCUUAAUCUCUCUGAAUGCAAACGCUCUCCUCCGUUUAACUUCUUGUCAUGUAGCCGACGUGAAUUCUAAAAGCGAUCAUUGAUUUUUCCCUGAAUUCUUGCAAUAUGUUGCUCUUCGAUAACCGAGCUCACCAACUCGUAUUUAUUAUCUAUAUCAAGCGUACAUAAAAGCAUAAAAUUACUUGCUCUUGAUUAUUUCGAUGCGGUAAUUUUUCAUCGUGUAGAUUAGAGAGUACAUUGCUGACAACAAUUUUUGUUUUUGUUUGAUAGACAUGUAAAGUACGUUUGCAGAUUGGAUGAGUUUAUUUUCAAUUAAACUGGAGUAUGUCAAUUAGUGUCAGUAACACGUAUAAAAUUAACACAUUUCUAUAUCUAAUUUGCUACGUAAUUUCGUGAUUUUAUCUCGAAUAACAGCUAUGAAAUAUAGCUGAUGUUAAUACGAUGUCAAUUAAUCCUCACGGCCAACGGACCUUGAGCCUUACCCUUCUUGCAACAUGCGUUUUUAUUUUCAUUCCGGUUAAUGAAAUAUGCGUUGUAAUUAUUUUGUAGAAUCUGUAGCAAUCCGUCUAUUUGUACUAUGACUCGACAACUUCAUUAAAUGUAUUUAUGAAAAUUUUA